rnacentral:rRNA from 1 species
UACGAAGGGUGCAAGCGUUACUCGGAAUUACUGGGCGUAAAGCGUGCGUAGGUGGUUUGUUAAGUCUGAUGUGAAAGCCCUGGGCUCAACCUGGGAAUUGCAUUGGAUACUGGCAGGCUAGAGUGCGGUAGAGGAUGGCGGAAUUCCUGGUGUAGCAGUGAAAUGCGUAGAGAUCAUGAGGAAGACCAGUGGCGAAGGCGACUCUUUGGCCUGUAACUGACGCUGAGGCGCGAAAGCGUGGGGAGCAAACAGG